rnacentral:rRNA from 1 species
GCAAGGAUUGUAAUCUGUAGAAGGUUCUUUGGGAGCGUUUGAGGCCAAGUCCUUUGGAAUUGGGCAUCAUAGAGGGUGAUAAUCCCGUCUUGCCUGACAAGCAAUCCCGUGCAAAAGACCUUUCGACGAGUCGAGUUGUUUGGGAAUGCAGCUCAAAAUGGGUGGUAGACUUCAUCUAAAGCUAAAUAUAAACCAAAGACCGAUAGCGCACAAGUAGAGUGAUCGAAAGAUGAAAAGCACUUUGAAAAGAGAGUCAAACAGCACGUGAAAUUGUUGAAAGGGAAGCGCUAGCAACCAGACUUGUUCUGUAAAGCUCAGCCCUCUGAAAAGAUGGUGUAUUCUUUUCGAACAGGCCAACAUCAGUUUUGGCGGUUGGAUAAAAGUCUGUGGAAAGUAGUUCUCUUCGGGGAAUGUUAUAGCCUGGGCACAAUGCAGCCAGCUGGGACUGAGGAUUUGCGUCUUCGGACAAAGAUGUUGGCAUAAUGGUUGUUAGCGACCCGUCUUGAAACACGGACCAAGGAGUCGACCAAUUGAGCGAGCGUUUGGGUGUAAAACCCUCAACGCGAAAUGAAAGUAAACGUAGGUGGGAGCCUCCCGGGGCGCACCAUCGACCGAUCUGAGUUCGCGAGGAUUUGAGUAUGAGUUUAAUUGGUCGGACCCGAAAGAAGGUGAACUAUUCUUGGAUAGGUUGAAGUCAGGUGAAAACCUGAUGGAAGACCGCAGCGGUUCUGACGUGCAAAUCGAUCGUCAAAUCUGGGAAUAGGGGCGAAAGACUAAUCGAACCUUCUAGUAGCUGGUUCCUGUCGAAGUUUCCCUCAGGAUAGCAGCAACGAUAAUACAGUCUCAUGAGGUAGAGCAACGAUUAGAGGCCUUGGGGCUGAAACAGCCUUAACCUAUUCUCGAACUCCGAAUAUGUGAGAAGUCCUUGUUACUUUAUUGAACGUGGACA